rnacentral:rRNA from 1 species
UAUUUUGGAAGAGAUGCAUUUAUUAGAUAAAAAACCAAUAUAUACUUUUUCAAGUAUGAAAUUUGGUGAUUUACAAUAACUUAGCAAAUCGCAUAGUGAAAACAGGCGAUAAAUCAUUCAAGUUUCUGACCUAUCAGCUUUCGACGGUAUGGUAUUGGCUUACCGUGGCAGUGACGGUUAACGGGGGAUUAGGGUUCGAUUCCGGAGAGGGAGCCUGAGAAACGGCUACCACAUCUAAGGAAGGCAGCAGGCGCGCAAAUUACCCAAUUCUAACAGCAUAAGAGAGGUAGUGACAAGAAAUAACAAUACAAGGCAGUUAAAAUGCUUUGUAAUUGGAAUGAUAGAAAUUUAAACACUUUUUAAAGUAUCAAUUGGAGGGCAAGUCUGGUGCCAGCAGCCGCGGUAAUUCCAGCUCCAAUAGCGUAUAUUAAAAUUGUUGCAGUUAAAAAGCUCGUAGUUGAAUUUCUGUUAAAAAUAACCGGUCUGCUUUUAAUAAAAGUGGUAUCUUGGUGUGUUUUUAGCAAUAAUGUCCUUUGAAAUGUUUUUUACUUUAUUGUAAUAAAUAAUAUUCAGGAUUUUUACUUUGAGAAAAUUAGAGUGUUUCUAGCAGGCUAACGCUUUGAAUACUGCAGCAUGGAAUAAUAAAAUAGGAUUUUAGUUCUACAUUAUUGGUUUUAAGAACUAAAUUAAUGAUUGAUAGGGACAGUUGGGGGCAUUUGUAUUUAACUGUCAGAGGUGAAAUUCUUAGAUUUGUUAAAGACAAACUACUGCGAAAGCAUUUGCCAAAGAUGUUUUCAUUAAUCAAGAAC